AGCUCCAAUAGCGUAUAUUAAAGUUGUUGCAGUUAAAAAGCUCGUAGUUGGAUUUCUGUUAGGAGGAACGAGCGCACUCUGCGUGUAUGUCUUGCUUUCUUCUGACAUCCUUCUGUUAACCUAUCUUCGACUUCAUUUGGCGGGUUAGGGGCUCAGAUAUUUUACCUUGAGAAAAUUAGAGUGUUUCAGGCAGGCUUAUGCCCGGAUACAUUAGCAUGGAAUAAUGGAACAGGACUUCGCCUCUUCUGUUGGUUUGAGGGGUUGAAGUAAUGAUUAAUAGGGAUAGUUGGGGGCAUUAGUACUUAACUGUCAGAGGUGAAAUUCUCGGAUUUGUUAAAGACUAACUUAUGCGAAAGCAUUUGCCAAGGAUGUUU
rnacentral:rRNA from 1 species